rnacentral:rRNA from 1 species
CGCGUAGGUGGUUAGGUAAGCGAGAUGUGAAAGCCCCGGGCUUAACCUGGGAACGGCAUUUCGAACUGUCUGACUAGAGUAUGGUAGAGGGUAGUGGAAUUUCCUGUGUAGCGGUGAAAUGCGUAGAUAUAGGAAGGAACACGAGUGGCGAAGGCGGCUACCUGGACCAAUACUGACACUGAGGUGCGAAAGCGUGGGGAGCAAACA